GGGCCGGGCCGGGCUGGACUCGCCGCCCGCUGCGGCGCUUCGCUCUGGCUGGAGCCGCAUUCCUCCCUGCUCACGGGCAGUCUAAACGUAGGAACUGCCGGGAGUCCCGGGGCCAGCCAUCCCGACGGCCUGUGAACAGCACCGGCCGCCUGCUGUGACCAUGUAGUUCAUCGUACGCAGCAGCCGAAGCGGGGAUGGGCAGCCUGAGGCCCUGUCAGCUCGUGUCCCGCUCGGCCGGUCCUCGCUACGUGCCCUGGGCUUACCCAGUGCGAACUGUGGCGCUGAACCAGGGACGAGCCCGGCCUCUGCCGAGGCGCAGGCUCUGCCCUCUCCCACCGGCCCAGGUUGAAGUACCAAAAAGGCAUGGACCUGUGGUUCUGAAACUCCUGCUUAAGGUCCAGCAGGGCCAGACUUCCAGAUGUGGUGUGGCAUGCUCUCUGCUGUGUAUCUGUCUCUCAGGGUGGGCAGGAAGAAAACCAGAGAGGACUAGGCUGCACCUGAUGCUGGCCAAGCCACUAUUUUUUGCUGUCAUCAGAGAGGUCAUCUGGUGCAUUAUUUUAUCUACGUGUUGCUUAGUUUCCAAGUUAUGUAGGAGGCCUAGCAAAUGGAGCUGCUGUAACUGUGACUAG
ensembl:lncRNA